rnacentral:tRNA from 1 species
GGGGUUGUGGUCUAGUGGUAUGACAUCUUCUUAGCAUUGCUUUCUUGAGCAUUACUGAGUGGAGAAGGUUCUGGGUUCGAUUCCCAGCUACUCCA